GAGGUGCCAGGUGUCGCUAUUGAGAAAAGAGUGGCAAGGAGCUCACUGCUGCUCACAGGCGUCAGUAUGCGUGUGACUUUGAUACUGUGUGUAGCUACAUGCAAUGAUCGUGCUUUGUCUCAUGAUGGAUCGUAAAAAGAUGUCAAUAGUGAAGCCAGAGGACGAUAAGGCGGUGGAGGCGAGAAUUAAGAAGACCAAUGAAGCAUUACUUAGACCAGGCAUCAAGAGGGAAGAGGUGACGGCCUGUUAUGACAAGUGGGCAAAGACUUACGAUGAGUCAAUCAGAGAGGACAGGUGUAGAGCGUCUUACGUGAUCUUAGAGGACGUUCUUCAGCGCAUCCCUGCCUCCUCUCGUACCUCCUGCAGGGUCCUGGAUGUGGCGGCUGGGACAGGAUGUAUGGGACAGCACCUAAGGAGGGAGGGGUUCAGACACAUAGACGCGGUGGAGCCCUCUCGUGGCAUGAUGGAGAAACUGAAGAGUAAGGGUGCCUACACCAACUUUUUCCAGGAAUAUGUGGGUACAGGAGACUCCACGGUGCCUCAGGACACCUAUGACCUUGUGUUGAUCUGCGGUGGAAUGGGCGAAGGUCAUGUCCCUGUGAGUGGGAUUGACGAGGUGGUAAGGGCAGCCAAGAAGGGUGAUCUCAUCUCCAUUGCAAUGCGGCUUAGCUUCUUGGAAACAGUGGAGGCAUAUAAAGACAAACUGGAACCUUAUAUGGAACAGCUGGAAAAACAAGAUGUCUGGAUAAAGGCGGAGCGGCGCGUGGUCCAUGAUUACUAUUUCAAAGAAGAUGGCUUAUUAUUCACCUACAUUAAGGCAUGAAAGAGUAGAGACAAUUACAUGGGAGUGUUGUGGUAGCCCUCGUCCACAUACGCAUUUCAUUAUUAUUAUAUUACACUUUACUAGUAUAUCAUUAAUUUUUAUGUAUUUUUCUCAUAUUCAUAUAUGUUUUAUACAGAGGAAACCUCUGUCAUCCGUUGCAUUAUGGGAGUAUUAUGUCAUGAGGCACGUGAGGCAGAAGAGGAUUCCGCAGAGGUGAGCAUGUUAAAGACAGGCCGUUAGUGAUUAACAAAAGAUCUUGGUAUGGCAGCCCAAACUCUCCGUGACAAAGCGAUGGCUGACAAACAAAAGAACAUGACACAGAUAUUCGAGAAACAAGGGAGUAUCUUAAAAUCUUAGGUGCGCUAAUCGGAUGCCUUUCAGACGUUUAACUCUCUCAGUACUGGGCCGCAGUUUUACCUUGAUUUCUGAGUGUGAUUAGACGAUUUUAUGGACAUUAGGAAGGAUCUAUAGAUGUUAGAAGAUUAAUGGCCAGAAUCUUCACUAUUUUAAUCCCCACAUGAGUUUCUAAAGCUGUAAAAAACCUCCAAAUAGUAAGCAGAAUGAAUAUGAAAAUGCAUCAUGGUAGUGAAGGGGUUAUGAUAUACAAUAAAAGUACGCAUGCUAUGAGAAGUAACAAAGGAAUCCAGCGUGCGAAAAAAAAAAGAUAAAUGAAUAAAAUAAAAAAUCGAUGGAAUUCAGGAAACAAAAAACAUUGGUAAUCAGAGGCAAGUGACGCAGUGGACAAUUAAAUGUACACGUGCUAUGAAAAGUAACCGAGGGAAUUCAGAGAACUAUGGAAAAAUAGGAUAAAUCAGAGACAUGUGAUCCAGUGGUGAAUUGAAAUGUAACAAUCGUCACAACACACACAAAAAUUAAAUGUAACGAUGAGCAUAAUAUAAGGCGGAGUGCGAAAGGUGAGGAUGGCAGAGAAUAAAGGGAGAUACAUCUUACCUCCAGCACUUGGUACUAGACACUUUGAUGUGAGCUUCUCACCAUAAAGCCUUUGGUCGUCUCCUGCCUUGCCUUAUACGUGAGUAAUACUUAGAGUAUUUUCCUUGCGGUCUCGUGAUGUAUACUGUAUUAUUUUAAGUCUUUUUGUGAUCCUUUGCAUGUAGUGAUCACUGAAUUAUUGGUGUAGUGAUGUGAUAGUGUUAUUGGUUUUAGAUGUAUGACGUGUUGUUGUGCUAAAUGUCAUGAUAACUUAAGAUGAGUCACUGAGGAAGUGAAGAAUCUGUGGUUGGAGUUGAGUAGAGUACAGUGGAGAAGAUUAUCAGGGAGAGAUGUGGUCGUGUUGUUUUAACACUUUUUUUAUGUGUAAUUGUUACGCUUGCUUAUAUGUUAUUCAAUAAAUGUAGUUAGUUUUGAGUUACGUUUGUGAAUGCCUCACGGAAGAAUCCACUAGCCUUAGUCACUUGCUUGUGCUUGACCUUGCAGAACAUCAGUACAUAAGUAUCGUAACGGAGUAUUAAAGGUAAACAGCUUUAUGUGGUAGCCUGCUGAGGGCCGGUGUAGCAGUUACAAGUUAAGUCCUGGGUAGAAGUGAAGUACUCCUCGCGGCAGCUGCCAGACGUAAGCUUCAGUUUACCCCACGCCUUCGAGGGAAAUGGAUUGUUGUGACCGCAGUUCUCCAAACUUUAUGUCUGUUUCGGUCUGAAAAUCUCUGAAGAAAAGGAACUUUUAAAUAAGUUAAUUAUUUGAUAUUAAUUGCCUUUAUUGAACUAAAUAUACUACCUUUGUGAAGUAAUUACUAACGGCUUCUCAUGAAACACUAUAUAGGCCCACGUACAUUACAGACCUAACUAAUUAGCUAUCAAGUAAUAAUAUAAUAUAAAUAAUGAUAUUAUAAUCGAAGUAAUGCAGCUGAAAUUAAGAAUAUUCCAAAGUUUCCAUUGGUUUUGCCCAUGUCAGAGACCUUUUCACCCUCUGGCCGAGGUCCCCGUGUUAUUUACCCUCGGGGGCCCUGGCUCAACCUAACAUGUUGCUAUUAAUAUCGAGAGAGAGAGAGAGAGAGAGAGAGAGAGAUCAUCUAUAUUUUACCAUUUAUAAACGUUAUGAAUAGGAUAUCAUAAGUGAAGACAAAUCCUUUAACUGUUGGACUCAGUUAUUACUUCAGAUUUCUCUGCAUAUAUAUAUAUAUAUAUAUAUAUAUAUAUAUAUAUAUAUAUAUAUAUAUAUAUAUAUAUAUAUAUAUAUAUAUAUAUAUAUAUAUAUAUAUAUAUAUAUAUAUACUUCCAGUACUCGACCUAAGUGCGUUAUUAUUGCUUAUAUUCGCGUCUCCUCAGUUUUCUCUCCUUAGUCUUUUCAUUAAUAUCAUGGUCGGCAGCCCGCAUAUGUAUUCACAGCCAUUCUGCUCUGUAUUAGACUAAUAACAUCACCCUCCACACGUCACGGGCUCUCAGACCCGACUGAGUGGUGCAGUACGAUAUGUUUGAAAAAGACUUCACUUCUACCCGGGACUUCACUUGUAACUGCUACACCGGUUAAGGCAAUUAUUUCCGUUCGCCCGCCACAGGGCAGCGUGGGUCAUGCUGGUUGUUGGUUGGCUAUUAUAUUGCACGCUCCACCAUACUUUCCGUUCGUGUCAACCCUUUGUGAAUGUAUAUGGCUGCAACAAUAUACUACUGCACUCA